AUCCAUCUGACGAGUCCUAAAUAGGACGGAACUCAUGUCCUUGAU
rnacentral:hammerhead_ribozyme from 1 species